rnacentral:tRNA from 1 species
GUUUUUAUGGUGUAACAAACAUACAGUCCCUUCAAGACUAAGCUAAUAACUAUUUAAAAACG